rnacentral:rRNA from 1 species
GGGAGGCAGCAGUAAGGAAUAUUGGACAAUGGACGAAAGUCUGAUCCAGCCAUGCCGCGUGCAGGAUGACAGCCCUACGGGUUGUAAACUGCUUUUAUACAGGAAGAAACACUCCGACGUGUCGGAGCUUGACGGUACUGUAAGAAUAAGGAUCGGCUAACUCCGUGCCAGCAGCCGCGGUAAU